CAUCUACAACGGGUGCAAGCCAGUUUUGCACACGCAGAAUACUCAGGUUAAACUUGACGAGCCUAGCAUAUGCAGAUAUGGCCUCGGAACACGGAGACCGAAAGGUCGAGCGUGAAUCAUAUAGUAGAUAUGAUCAACAUAGAGAUGUUCACCAUUGAAAACUACUCCAUCUCACGUGAUGAUCGGUUAUGGUUUAGUUGAUUUGGAUCACGUGAUCACUUAGAUGACUAGAGAGAUGUCUAUCUAAGUGGGAGUUCUUAAGUAAUAUGAUUAAUUGAACUUAAAUUUAUCAUGAACUUAGUCCUGGUAGUAUUUUGCAAAUUAUGUUGUAGAUCAAUAGCUCGCGUUGUUGCUUUCAUACGUUUAUUUUGAUAUGUUCCUAGAGAAAAUUCUGUUGAAAGAUGUUAGUAGCAAUGAUGCGGAUUGGAUCCGUUAUCUGAGGUUUAUCCUCAUUGUUGCACAGAAGAAUUAUGUCCUUGAUGUACCGCUAGGUGAAAAACCUAUUGCAGGAGCAGAUACAGACGUUAUGAACGUUUGGCUAGCUCAAUAUGAUGACUACUUGAUAGUUUAGUGCACCAUACUUAACGGCUUAGAAUCGGGACUUCAAAGACGUUUUGAACGUCAUGGACCAUAUGAGAUGUUCCAGGAAUUGAAGUUAAUAUUUCAAGCAAAUACCCGAGUUGAGAGAUAUGAAGUCUCCAACAAGUUCUAUAGCUAAAAGAUGGAGGAGAAUCGCUCAACUAGUGAGCAUGUGUUCAGAUUAUCUGGGUACUUCAAUCGCUUGCAUCAAGUGAGAGUUAAUCUUCCAGAUAAGAUAGUGAUUGGCAGAAUUCUCUAGUCACCAUCACCAAGUUAGUAGAACUUCGUGAUGAACUAUAGUAUGCAAGGGAUGACGAAAAUGAUUCCCAAGCUCUUCGUGAUGCUGAAAUCUAUGAAGGUAGAAAUCAAGAAAAGCAUCAAGUGUUGAUGGUUGACAAGACCACUAGUUUCAAGAAAAGGGCAAAGGGAAGAAGUGGAACUUCAAGAAGAACGGCAAGCAAGUUGCUGCUCCCGCGAAGAAGCCCAAAGCUGGACCAAAGCCUGAAACUGAGUGAUUAUACUGCAAAGGAAAUGGUCACUAGAAGCAGGAAAUGCCCUGAAUAUUUGGUGGAUAAGAAGGAUGGAAAAGUGAACAAGGGUACAUUUGAUAUACAGGUUAUUGAUGUGUACCUUACUAGUGUUUAUAGUAACCCCUGAGUAUUUGAUACUUGUUCGGUUGCUAAGAUUAGUAAUUCGAAACAGGAGUUACAGAAUAAACAGAAACUAGUUGAGGGUGAAGUGACGAUGUGUGUUGGAAGUGGUUCCAAGAUUGAUAUGAUCAUCAUCGUACACUCCCUAUACUUUCGGGAUUAGUGUUGAACCUAAAUAAAUGUUAUUUGGCGUUUGCGUUGAGCAUGAAUAUGAUUUGAUCAUGUUUAUUGCAAUACGGUUAUUCAUUUAAAAUCAGAGAAUAAUUGUUGUUCUGUUUAAAUGAAUAAAUCCUUUGAUGGUCAUACACCCAAUGAAAAUAGUUUGUUGGAUCUCGAUUGUAGUGAUACACAUAUUCAUAAUAUUGAUGCCAAAAGAUGCAAAGUUAAUAAUGAUAGUGCAACUUAUUUGUGGCACUGCCGUUUGGGUCAUAUCGAUGUAAAGCGCAUGAACAAACUCCAUAAAGAUGGAUUUUUGGAAUCACUUGGUUAUGAAUCAUUUGAUGCUUGCGAACCGUGCCUUUUGGGCAAGAUGACUAAAACUCCAUUCUCCGGAACAAUUGAACGAGCUACUGACUUAUUGGAAAUAAUACAUACCGAUGUAUGCGAUCCGAUGAGUGUUAAGGCUCGUGGCAAGUAUCGUUAUUUUCUAACCUUCACGGAUGAUUUGAGCAGAUAUGGGUAUAUCUACUUAAUGAAACAUAAGUCUGAAAUAGUUGAAAAGUUCAGAGAAUUUCAGAGUGAAGUGGAAAAAUCAUCGUAACAAGAAAAAUAAAGUUUCUACGAUCUGAUCAUGGAGACGAAUAUUUGAGUUACGAGUUUGGUCUACAUUUGAAACAAUGCGGAAUAGUUUCGCAACUCACGCCACCCGGAACACCACAGCGUAAUGGUGUGUCCGAACGUCAUAAUCGUACUUUAUUGGAUAUUGUACAAUCUAUGAUGUUUCUUACCGAUUUACCACUAUCGUUUUGGGGUCAUACAUUAAAGACAGCUGCAUUCACGUUAAAAAGGGGCACCACCUAAGUCCGUUGAGACGACACAAUAUGAACUGUGGUUUGGCAAGAAACCAAAGUUGUCGUUUCUUAAAAGUUUGGGGCUGCGAUGCUUAUGUGGAAAAGUUUCAUCCUGAUAAGCUCAAACCCAAAUCGGAGAAAUGUGUCUUCAUAGGAUACCCAAAGGAGAAAGUUGGGUACACCUUCUAUCACAGAUCCGAAGGCAAGACAUUCGUUGCUAAGAAUGGAUCCUUUCUAGAGAAGGAGUUUCUCUCGAAAGAAGUGAGUGGGAGGAAAGUAGAACUUGAUAAGGUAAUUGUACCUUCUCCCUUAUUGGAAAGUAGUUCAUCACAGAAAUCUGUUCCUGUGACUACUACACCAAUUAGUGAGGAAGCUAAUGAUGAUGAUCAUGUAGCUUCAGAUCAAGUUACUAUCGAAUCUCGUAGGUAAACCAGAGUAAGAUCCGCACCAGAGUGGUACGGCAAUCCUGUUCUGGAAGUCAUGCUACUAGAUCAUGAUGAACCUACGAACUAUGAAGAAGCGAUGGUGAGCCCAGAUUCCGCAAAAUGGCUUGAGGCCAUAAGAUCUGAGAUAACAUCCAUGUAUGAAAACAAAGUAUGGAAUUUGGUUGACUUGCCCAAUGAUCGGCGAGACAUUGAGAUUAAAUGGAUCUUCAAGAGGAAGACGGACGCUGAUAGUGUUACUAUCUACAAAGCUAGAAUUGUCGCAAAAGGUUUUCGACAAGUUCAAGGUGUUGACUACGAUGAGAGUUUUUCACUCGUAUCUAUGCUUAAGUCUGUCUGAAUCAUGUUAGCAAUUGCCACAUUUUAUGAAAUCUGGCAAAUGGAUGUCAAAACUGCAUUCCUUAAUGGAUUUUUUAAAAAAGAGUUGUAUAUGAUGCAACCAGAAGGUUUUGUCGAUCCGAAAGGUGCUAACAAAAUGUGCAAGCUCCAGCGAUCCAUCAAUGAACUGGUGCAAGCAUCUCGGAGUUGGAAUAUACACUUUGAUAAGUUGAUCAAAGCAAAGCCUGUAUUUACAAGAAAGUGAGUGGGAGCACUACAGCAUUUCUGAUAAGUAUAUGUGAAUGACAUAUUGUUGAUCGAAAAUAAUGUAGAAUCUUUCUGGAAAGCAUAAAGGAGUGUUUGAAAGGAGUUUUUCAAAGAAAGACCUUGGUGAAGCUGCUUACACAUUGAGCAUCAAGACCUAUAAAGAUAGAUCAAGACGCUUGAUAAGAUUUUUCAAUGAGUACAUACCUUGACAAGAUUUUGAAGUAGUUCAAAAUGGAACAGUCAAAGAAAGAGUUCUUGCAUGUGUUGCAAGGCGUGAAGUUGAGUAAGACUCAGAACCCGACCAUGGCAGAAAAUAGAAAAGAAUGAACAGUCAUUCCCUAUGCAUCAGUCAUAGGUUCUAUAAAAGUAUGCCAUGCUAUGGACCAGACCUAUUGUAUACUCUGCCAUGGUUUGGCAAGAGAGUACAAUAGUGAUCUUGGAGUAGAUCACUAGACGUUGGUCAAAAUUAUCCUUAGUGGAAUAAGGAUAUGUUUCUCGAUUAUGGAGGUGACAAAAAGGUUCGUCGUAAAGGGUUAAGUCGAUACAAGUUUUGGCACUGAUCCAGAUGACUCUAUGUCUUAAUCUGGAUACAUAUUGAAAGUGGGAGCAAUUAGCUAGAGUAGCUCCGUGCAGAGCAUUGUAGACAUAGAAUAUUUGCAAAAUACAUACGGCUCUGAAUGUGACAGACCCAUUGACUAAACUUCUCUCACAAGAAAAACAUGAUCAUACCUUAGUACUCUUUGGGUGUUAAUCACAUAGCGAUGUGAACUAGAUUAUUGACUCUAGUAAACCCUUUGGGUGUUGAUCACAUGACGAUGUGACAUAUUGGUGUUAAAUCACAUGGUGAUGUGAACUAGAUUAUUGACUCUAGUGCAAGUGGGAGACUGAAGGAAAUAUGCCCUAGAGGCAAUAAUAAAGUUAUUAUUUAUUUCCUUAUUUCAUGAUAAAUGUUUAUUUUUCAUGCUAGAAUUGUAUUAACCGGAAACAUAAUACAUGUGUGAAUACAUAGACAAACAGAGUGUCACUAGUAUGCCUCUACUUGACUAGCUCGUUAAUUAAAGAUGGUUAUGUUUCCUAACCAUAGACAUGAGUUGUCAUUUGAUUAACGGGAUCACAUCAUUAGGAGAAUGAUGUGAUUGACUUGACCCAUUCCGUUAGCUUAGCACUUGAUCGUUUAGUAUGUUGCUAUUGCUUUCUUCAUGACUUAUACAUGCUCCUAUGACUAUGAGAUUAUGCAACUCCUGUUUACCGGAGGAACACUUUGUGUGCUACCAAAUGUCACAACAUAACUGGGUGAUUAUAAAGGUGCUCUACAGGUGUCUCCGAAGGUACAUGUUGGGUUGGCGUAAUUCGAGAUUAGGUUUUGUCACUCCGAUUGUCGGAGAGGUAUCUCUGGGCCCUCUCGGUAAUAGACAUCACUUAAGCCUUGCAAGCAUUGUAACUAAUGAGUUAGUUACGGGAUGAUGUAUUACGGAACGAGUAAAGAGACUUGCCGGUAACGAGAUUGAACUAGGUAUUGGAUACCAACGAUCGAAUCUUGGGCAAGUAACAUACCGAUGACAAAGGGAACAACGUAUGUUGUUAUGCGGUUUGACCGAUAAAGAUCUUCAUAGAAUAUGUAGGAACCAAUAAAAACAUCCAGGUUCCGCUAUUGGUUAUUGACCGAGAAUAGUUCUAGGUCAUGCCUACAUAGUUCUCGAACCCGUAGGGUCCGCACGCUUAACGUUACGAUGACAGUUUUAUUAUGAGUUUAUAAGUUUUGAUGUACCGAAGGUUGUUCGGAGUACCGGAUGUGAUCACGGACAUGACAAGGAGUCUCGAAAUGGUCGAGACAUAAAGAUUGAUAUAUUGAACGGAUAUAUUUGGACACCGGAAAGGUUCCGGAUGAGAUUGGGACUAUACCGGAGUUCCGGGAGGUUACCGGAACCCCCGGUAAGUAUAUGGGCCUUAUUGGGCCUUAGUGGAAGGGAGGGAGAAGGAGCAAAGGAGGGGGAGCCCCCCCCCCCCCAAGCCCAAUCCGAAUUGGGAGGGGGGUCGGCCCCCCCUUUCCUUCUUCCCUCCCCUCUCUUCCUUCCCUCUCCUACUCCUAAUAGGAAAGGGGGGCCAAACCUACUUGGAGUAGGUUUGCCCCCCCUAGGGCGCGCCUCCCCUCUUGGCCGGCCCCCUCCUCCUCUCCCCUUUAUAUACGAAGGAGGGGGGCACCCCAUAGACACACAAGUUGAUCUACGGAUCGUUCCUUAGCCAUGUGCGGUGCCCCCUUCCACCAUAUUCCACCUCGGUCAUAUCAUCGCGGAGUUUAGGCGAAGCCCUGCGCCGGUAGAACAUCAUCAUCGUCACCACGCCGUCGUGCUGACGGAACUCAUCCCCGACGCUUUGCUGGAUUGGAGCCCAGGGAACGUCAUCGAGCUGAACGUGUGCUGAACACGGAGGUGCCGUACGUUCAGUGCUUGGAUCUGUCGGAUCGUGAAGACGUACGACUACAUCAACCGCGUUGUCAUAACGCAUCCGCUUAACGGUCUAUGAGGGUACGUGGACAACACUCUCCCCUCUCGUUGCUAUGCCAUCACCAUGAUCUUGCGUGUGCGUAGGAAUUUUUUUUGAAAUUACUACGUUCCCCAACACGGACCACCGCAAAUAACGUGGCACUGCCGGUUCAACAGUAUUAACUGCCCUUUUGUGAAGCUUCUUAUCGUGCUUGCACAAACUAGUAGUGAACACAUGAUACUGCCCGUCAUUCAACUGCUUUGGGUGACUCUGAUAACCUGACUGCUGCUGAUUCCCUUGAUUAUUCUGUUGGUUAUUACCACCUUUGUUGUUUUGGUUGCCCUGAUUAUUCUGAAAUCCAGAGUUUGAACCGCCGCCACCACCAAAGCCUGGACCUGAAGCGCCCAACGGACCCUGAUCAUACCGGAAGAGAUCAGAGUUUUUGAACUCCUUCAUGAUGAAGCAAUCCUUCCAAAGAUGUGUUGCUGGAACCUCCUUGGUCCUAUGCUUUGGACAGGGCUGGUUUAACAGUCGUUCCAACUUCAUCUUUAAUGACUUAAACCGACAGUUACGCUCCAGUGUUAUGAUUGCUUGGCCGGCAUUAAUCCGGUCCGACGAAUGCAAAACUUCUGAAACCGGCACACCCAAUGAGUUGUUGACUCGUUCUCUCCUUGAACACAGGGAUCCAGAUCCACAAUUGACAUAGGUUGUUUGCAUGUAUCCUUGAAAUUUGCUAUAAACUGGGCCUUCAAUUGGUCCCAUGACUCGAUGGAGUUAGCUGGCAGGUUCUUCAACCAUGUACGGGCUGUCCCUUCCAACAUCAUUGUGAAGUACUUUGCACAAGCUGCUUCAUCCACAUCCAGCAUCUCCAUCGCCAUCUCAUAACUUUCAACCCACGCCUCAGGUGGCUGGUCUAUGGUGUAAUUAGGCACCUUACGUGGACCCUUGAAAUCCUUGGGCAGUCGCACAUUACGGAGAGCCGGAAUGAAACACGGUACUCCCCAGGAACUGAAGGCAAGCCCGGUGCCUCGGUCUACUGAUGCUGCUGGCUGAACCGAGGCGGGUUGAUAACGACCCGCAUAUUGUGCUGCUAAAGCGGCCUCCCUUCGUGCUCUGCCAUUAUCCACCACAUCCUGAGCAUUCACUUCACCGCGCGCCGGAUUGGGUCCUUGAGGGACGUUACGGCGCCACGCACUGCUGGACACUUCUGGUUCAUCUAUGUGUCUGCUAUAGCUUUUGCUCGGACGGGGGGUCGUGUGAAUCCUGUCUCGGCUAUAUGAGUAAGCCUGCUGCUGCACCAUAGCAGUCUGAAGAAGAUCCCUGGCCCGCCAUGUCUCAACCGCCGCUGGCGAUUCACCCUCCAUCGGGAUAGCUGCCAGUCGGGAUGCCGCUACUAUCAUGUUAUCCAAAGGGGUAGAGAAGUGAACUGGCGGGGGUGUUGUGUACCGCGGCGGGUUGUCGGUUCAUCGAGGCGGACCCAUUACCUGAGGUUGAUCCGGCGCACCAACCCUGGGCAUGAUAGUCCGGUUUACUGCUGCCGGAUUGCUGGUUCCUGCCCCUGGCGUACUGAAGAGAUUCAUUGCGUUGUAAUCCACCGGCAAACGAGACUGAUGUCUCCUCCUCAAUACUUCAUUCGAGACGUUUUGAUCCAGCAAGAGUCGAUAAUUCUAGGCCUGAAUCCUCUGUGUCUGGGCAUCUAAAGCGGCCCGUUCCUCUGCCAUCCUGGUCUCCUCAGCCGCCAAGUCCUCCUUGGCCUGCGUUAUCUGAUCCCGUAGCUUAGUGACCUUUGCGUUAUGCCGAUCUUGAGUCUCUGGGGUAACUGCUGUGGCCAAUAAUGUCGUCUAAGCAUCCAACAAACCGGACAGAACUUGUCAGGGAUAUACCCCGCGGUGUAACCCGGCCGGAAGUAUAACCCGGCCGGACUCGGCGACUCACGGAUGACCCGCCCUGACUGGACGACACACUAAGUGACCCGCCAGAUCCUGGCGACUUAUGGGUGACCUGGCAAGCGGAUCAGAGGAGCGACAAGACCCGGGGGCCCAGGAGGCUCAAGGCCUAGAAGGUCGGCUUACGUUAUGAUAGGCCGGCUUAAGAGGAAAGGCGUGAGGAAUAUCUCCCUUACAAGGAAUCAAGACCCGGACUUGUAUCCGGCUUGUAGUACAAGAUAGGCUAGUCCUAAUCCUAUUUGGACUCCACAUGUAACCCGCCCCUCUAACUUAUAUAAGGAGGGGCAGGGCUCCCCAAAGGGAGGGAGGCAACAAGAACAAUCUCUAGGGCUAGACACAAAGGGGGAGCCGGCUUACGGCGACUCCUCUCAUGAGCAUAAUGAGACCUAGCCACAAACAGCAUGUAGGGUUAUUACCGGAUGAUGUUUCUCGGGGCCCGAAGUUGUCUAAAUCCUUGUCUUGCGUGUUGCAUCUCUCGUCCCAAUCAACCCCUCUCAAGCUACCACAUAGAUGUGUUGGCCUCGCGACUAAGUCCUGACACUAAGGACAUCUGACGUGUUAAUUCCACGACAGUUGGCGCCCACCGUGGAGCUCGCGCACGGUGGUGAUGAGUUCUUGGAGGGAUCUCUCCUAGGGUUCGAGAAGCUCACGAUUUCGUCGGAUGAGAAAGAGCCAACAAGUUGGUUGUUUUACGAUCUGGAACAUGAUUAAACUUUGGAGCCUGCAAACUUAGAUUUCACGAGAAACUAGGGUUUCGACUUGUGCGCCGCCGGGCGCAUCUUUAGCAUAUUGUCAGUUCAAGGGCGGAUACACAGGAGCAAUCUAGCGUAACCAAGCUGUCCUGAUCAGCGGUAGUCACAACAAAUACGUGAUUGGUUCGGCCCUAAAGCCAACGUUGGAACUUGGAAGGAAAAAGAAAACAAAGGACAGCGACAAGGCGUCGAAGACCAGCAUCCAAAUUGACAGCGACAAGAAACUAACUUUGUUCAGAUUCUAACUCGGUCGGUGCCAUUAAAGGGAAACUAGGAUUGUGUAACGGUCCGUGAGAUGCGCCGUGAGUCGCCGAGACCGACAAGUUCUUUGCUGCCGAUUCAACGCAUAAGCAGCGAUGGAGAUCGAUUUUUGUACGGGUAGUCCGUCGAGGUGGACACAAAGUUUCCGCUGCGCCCUGCUGUCAAAAUUGCAAGUCAUCUCUGUACGCACGCGUUCAAAGCCAUCCAGCGAAUCUUGCAACAGUAGCGAUGUCACAUGUCUGAAGCUACAGCCCCACCCCCACGUGAAGGACCAAGAACCAAUGUUUACGCAAGAAUCAAAAGCUAACAUUACUGCUUACUCCUACAUGGGAAGGACAUAGACAUAUAAAAAAUUGCUACUAUUGCCAAAGAUCCCUCACGUGAGUUUGCUAAUGUGCUAGUUCACAUAUAAAAAAAAGGAGAGAAAAAAGGGGCCACGACCCGAAGGAAGACCCGAAUUCGGAGCUGCUGCUCUAUGCAACGAGCCGCUGCGGCGCCCUCUGCUGUUGCACUUUGGCGCCUGGACUGCCGCUGCGGCCUUGCCUUGCCUCUGAACGGCCUCGCCGCCAAGUUGCCGUGGCCGGGCCUCACUAACCUUGCGAGCCGGCUUGCUGCCUCUGCUGGCGCUGCCCUUGCCCCUCCAGCCGCUCACCUCAGCACCCUAGACCCUUUGCCUGGACCGGUUCUCUGCUUCGAGUCGCUGGACCUUGCCUCCGUCGUUCCGCCGCGGUCCCGCUUUUAGCUGCUGUCGUGCUAAGCUAAGCCGCCACCGCGGUUGCUGUCUUGAGCCGCUCCUCCGCUGCCGUCCCGCGCUGAGUCGCUGGACCGGCCCUCGGUUCCUCUGGGACAACCGGCCUAGCCGCCUCACUCUUGCGACCUUAGGCUAUCCUCUGCUACAACACCUCUGUCGUAACCCGCCGAGAGCUGCUGUUUCAAGCCACCUCGCAGGCUGCAGGUGACCCGCCCGCGCCCGAUUCCGAGCCGCCAGGGCCCCUCAGCCGCUAUGUCGAGUCGCAAUUGGAUGGAUGCUUGUGGAUGGCAAUGGUUUUAAGGCUUCAGUUACCUCAGUUUUUGAUGGUUUCAAGGUGUAGAUAUGGCGAAGGAGAUACCCUGGGCAUUGCAUGUGUACAUAAUGGUUCAAAGACCAAUCUGCCUACAAUAAAGGAAUAGGAGUCCAGCAAUACUCACUGUUGCAUAUGCCUGCUGAACUGCUCGGAUCUGUCUACCCCUGCGGCUGCUGGACCAACAGAUGCACCGUAUGCUGCUAUUUCAAAGUGCAGGAAAAAACAGCUCCAACGGUGCAUGCAGGAAUCAGCCAAAGCUAACAUGAUUAGCCUCGGCCAACGCAAAUGAUAUAUUGGCGUAAAAAAAUUAAAUUUGGGGACGACCUCCAAAGCUUGAUGGAUACGUGGGUGGAUACGAAGGCCCACUAAAACUGCAUUUUUGCUUCUAUCGAUACGUCCGACGAAAACCCAGGAUGAUCACGGAUGCACGGCAAUGCACCAGAAGCACCUGCGUUCGUCCGUGAUGUUGUGCGUGUCUGCAUGGGGGACAAACACGCAGACUGCCGCCUCUGUGAUCUGGCUUACGAUGCCGCGGCCAAGUCACCUGUCCGCACCGGCUUACAACGUCGCGGUCGGUUCAUCUGUCUGCUCUUGCAGCCGACUUGGUCGUGAUUAAUUUCCACUUCACCAUGGUGAUCAACUCCGCGGUGGAUAAUAAUUGCCUGACAUAUCAGGUGAAAUCUAUCCAAUAUAUUUUUAUAAUAUAUAUUGAUUUUCUUUAAAAGAGCAAUUACUCUGUCUUGCAAGUUCUCCAAUGCAGGACAGGUUAUAUCACUGAGCUGUUGACUGACUCAUGCCAGUUUAUAUCACGGUCAAAUAUGGAGAAUCUCAAGACAACUCCUUGAGUCGCCUUGAGACUCGGGGGCUACGAUGACAUGACUCAGUAAAUGAUUGCCAAUUUAAAGCAGAUUCAAGAACUCCGGAUUAUUGGAGGGAAAAAUAACCCAGCCCUGGAGGCUACUGCCUUAUUGGCAAAUAUUUAAAGACCGUCAGAAAAUUUCCGGCUUAAAAAAGGAGGAUUCCGGUUCAAGGGAAAUUUAUUUACCACAAAGCUUUGAAGCUCUCAAAUCCGGUUCAAGGUAAAUUUAUCUCUCACAAAGUUUUGAAACUUUCAAAUCCGGUUUAAAGUUUCUGUUCAAAAAGAAUUAAUCUCUUGCAAGUUCAAGUUCUCAGAAAGAUUAAAGGGUGCUAAAAAGAACUUGCUGCCAUGAUGCGCGGUUCAAACAUGGGUAUCCUGCCUUACGGCUUAUCUUAUUAUGAUCACUUGGGGGCUUCCUGCUCAUCGGGCAUAGCCAUCAGUACCCUCUUGAUCGGUGCAAUGCCAAAAUUUAUACGGUCACUUGGGGGCUUCCUGUUCAAACAUAGGUCAUAUUCGAACCAAAGAGAACAUAGCUGUCGAUACCCUUUUGAUUAGCAAACUGCUGAACCUACUUGGGAGCUUCUUGAUCGUAUCCGAAUCAUAGCUCAACCCCUUUGGGAAUCAACGUGGAUCGUAUUCGAAUCAGCGUCGUUAAACAACUCUUAAGGUCACUUGGGGGCUUCCUGUUCAAACAUAGGUCGUAUCCAAACCAAAGAAAACAUAGCUGUCGAUACCCAUUUGAUCGACAUCGCCAACGCCACUGGGGGCUACAUGAUCGUAUUCGAAUCUUAGCUUAACCCCUUUGGAACGGUUUACUGAUCGUAUUCGAAUCAGAAGCCUCAAAUUUUUUAUCUAUUUUUAUACAAUCACAAGUAUUUGAGUUGUCACAAAUAUCUUAUGUGCCGGCUUUUACAGAGUUGAGUUAUCAACUUCACUGUCCGGGUCACAUAAACCGGCGGUAUCAUUCAAAGGAUCAUAGGGAUCUUGUGAUCUACUUGUGUGCAGGAUAAGACUACAUUUGGGUGGUUACCUGCCCUGGCUUUUGAUGUUAAGUCGCCAGGGCGUAUGUUGUUUAAAAUCUAUGCAGGAUUUGCAGAACUAUGACUUAUAUAAAUGCUUCAGUCAAAGCUCAUCACUGAAACUGGUGUCUCAAAAGGGUUAUCAAUUAUUGAUUUUCUCAAGGGCUAUAGGACACUGGGUUACAAAAAUUUUGUCUUACAAUGAAUGCGUAUUAAGUCGUCAUCGGCCAAGAGCCGCCAGGUAUUUAAACUCUGGAUUUACUUGUCAACCGAUGAGGUAUUUACAUCUUUAAUAGCCAAAAUUGGCUGGAUUUUCAUGAUGAUAUUGAAUGAUUGAGGUUUUCAUACCGGAUUAUAUUAUUCAAAUCUUUAAUAGCCAAAACAUGGCUGGAUUCUUAUUAUGGUUAUCAAUAGCCGAUAUUAUGAUGGAGGUCUUCAAAGUCGCUUCAGCGCAAUGGCUAUUAUUUUAUUAAUGGAUAUGAUUUAUUCUACAAUGGAAGGAAUAGUCCCGAGUCGCUGCAGGCUUACGACCCGGCACUUGGGGGCUACAUUAUUCAAAUUAAGGGUACAUCAAAUAUGCAAGUCUCAUGUCGCUGCAAGUAUGCACCAUGACACUUGGGGGCUAAUGCAAAGUCAUUUUUGCUCACCUCAUCACAUCAUAAUGAGCCGGCCCUUGGGGGCUACCAAUUGCUCCUGUCAACAAUUCAAGGUACACAAGUCUUAAUCCAUUAUAUUGAAAAGUUCACUACUCAGUUGGUAGAGUACAAAGCUCUUAACCUUAUGGACGUGGGUUCGAGCCCCAUGGUGAGGCUUACAUCAUAUGAUAUUAUUUUCAGUGAAGUAUAUAUAAAGUCCCAGCUAAGUAUUAUCUUACUAAGCCGGCCCUUGGGGGCUACAGAUUGACGUUCAAGUUUACAUGGUUAUAUCUAUAAAGUCCCUGCUCAUUAUUGCAUAAUGAACCGACCCUUGGGGGCUACACUGGUUGAAGUUUUUAUGAGCAUAAGGCAAUUUCAUGUCCCAGGUUGCUGCAAGCAUGACAACUCGGCACUUGGGGGCUAUAGGUAAUAUGGAUAUAAGGGAGAAAUAUCUUCCAAUUUUCAGUUUUGAGCAAACCAGAUUGACCCGGCAUCACCAAUCAUUAUGACCCGGUGUCUGCAACAAUCAUAACCCGGCGUCAUCAAAAAUCAUGAACCAGCAUUGGUAACAAUCAUGAACCAGCGUUGGAAACAAUCAUGACCAGGAAUUAUCAGUUUUUAUAGCCCGGUGAUUUUGGAAAUCAUAGAUCGGCAAGUUCUAUAUUUUCAAACCAGCUGAAUAUCAGAUGAGUAUUUCAAGACCAAUAUUUCUUAAGCCGGCGCUUUGGAAGCCGACUCAAAUGGAUUAUUUGUUUACAAUAUUUCUUCUACAAGCAAAUUGAUUGUGAAGCUGGUCUAUUGACCCGAAUUUUUCUAGAAGAAGGAAAUAACAAAGACUUAAGGAUGUUCAGGGGCCAGUUUACAAGAAUUCUUAACCUGGAGCACAACCUGUCAAAUUUGUUCUUGUGUUUAUUUUGCAGCAUAAGUUUACCAUGGAUAAAUCCAAGCUAAACUUGGGGGAUAAUGUCGAGGAUAUACCCCGCGGUGUAACCCGGCCAGAAGUAUAACCCGGCCGGACUCGGCGACUCACGGAUGACCCGCCUUGACUGGACGACGCACUAAGUGACCCGCCCGAUCCUGGCGACUUAUGGGUGACCUAGCAAGCGGAUCAGAGGAGCGACAAGACCCGGGGGCCCAGGAGGCUCAAGGCCCAGAAGGCCGGCUUACGUUAUGAUAGGUCGGCUUAAGAGGAAAGGCGUGAGGAAUAUCUCCCUUACAAGGAAUCAAGACCCGGACUUGUAUCCGGCUUGUAGUACAAGAUAGGCUAGUCCUAAUCCUAUUUGGACUCCACAUGUAACCCGCCCCUCUAACUUAUAUAAGGAGGGGCAGGGCUCCCCAAAGGGAGGGAGGCAACAAGAACAAUCUCUAGGGCUAGACACAAAGGGGGAGCCGGCUUACGGCGACUCCUCUCAUGAGCAUAAUGAGACCUAGCCACAAACAGCAUGUAGGGUUAUUACCGGAUGAUGUUUCCCGGGGCCCGAAGCUGUCUAAAUCCUUGUCUUGCGUGUUGCAUCUCUCAUCCCGAUCAACCCCUCUCAAGCUACCACAUAGAUGCGUUGGCCUCGCGACUAAGUCCUGACACUAAGGACAUCUGACGUGUUAAUUCCACGACAGAACUUGUGCCGGCCGGUGCGCGGGGCCUCCUGCCCUAGCUGCUGGUCCGGAACCCAAUGCGACCGCAGUAGAAUUUUGCAAAGUUGGUUGUGUACCGGCCAUGAAGAUUGCGACCCGGUUCGGCGGUUCAAGAAAUCCCAGAAUACUAGUGCCACCGGAAUACCCUUCGAACACACCGUCAUGAACUUGGUACAGGGACUCGGUUUCACCGGUGCAUGACUCGCCAUCGGAAUAAACGGCCAUCUCACCUUCGGACACCAGUUCAGAUCUGAUCCCAUGGACACAUCCUACGAAUGCACGCUUCAUGGCAGGCUGAAUCCGGGCGGGACUUGCACGUUGAGCCAUCUCGAUGAAGUCGGUGCAGAUGUCCGGCUCAGGGCCCGGUUCGCCGAUCUUGCCGAUGAAAACAUGAAUUCCGCCAAAGGGGACCCGGUGUUGGGGAACGUAGUAAUUUCAAAAAAAUUCCUACGUACACGCAAGAUCAUGGUGAUGGCAUAGCAACGAGAGGGGAGAGUGUCCGUCCACGUACCCUCGUAGAUCGUAAGCGGAAGCGUUAUGACAACGUGGUUGAUGUAGUUGUACGUCUUCACGAUCCGACCGAUCCAAGCACCGAACGUAAGGCACCUCCGAGUUCAGCACACGUUCAGCUCGAUGACGAUCCCCGGGCUCCGAUCCAGCAAAGCUUCGGGGAUGAGUUCCGUCAACACGACGGCGUGGUGAUGAUGAUGAUGCUCUACCGGCGCAGGGCUUCGCCUAAGCUUCGCGACGAUAUGACCGAGGUGGAAUAUGGUGGAGGGGGGCACCGCACACGGCUAAGGAACGAUCCGUAGAUCAACUUGUGUGUCAUGGGGUGCCCCCUUGCCCCCGUAUAUAAAGGAGCAAGGGGGAGGGGCGGCCGGCCAAGGAGAGGCGCGCCAAGGGGAGUCCUACUCCCACCGGGAGUAGGACUCCCUCCUUCCUUGUUGGAGUAGGAGAAGGGGGAAAGAGGGGGAGAGGAGGAAGGAAAGACGGGCUGCACCCCUUGUCCAAUUCGGACCAGAGGGGGGCUGCGCGCCUCCUUCCUUUCGGCCUCUCUCCUCAAUUCUCGUAUGGCCCAAUAAGGCCCAUAUACUCCCCGGCGAAUUCCCGUAACUCUCCGGUACUCCGAAAAAUACCCAAAUCACUCGGAACCUUUCCGAACUCCGAAUAUAGUCGUCCAAUAUAUCGAUCUUUAUGUCUAGACCAUUUCGAGACUCCUCGUCAUGUCCCCGAUCUCAUCCGGGACUCCGAACUCCUUCGGUACAUCAAAACUCAUAAACUCAUAAUAUAACUGUCAUCGAAACCUUAAGCGUGCGGACCCUACGGGUUCGAGAACUAUGUAGACAUGACCUAGAACUAUUCUUGGUCAAUAACCAAUAGCGGAACCUGGAUGCCCAUAUUGGCUCCUACAUAUUCUACAAAGAUCUUUAUCGGUCAAACCGCAUAACAACAUACUUUGUUCCCUUUGUCAUCGGUAUGUUACUUGCCCGGGAUUUGAUCGUCGGUAUCCAAUACCUAGUUCAAUCUCGUUACCGGCAAGUCUCUUUACUCGUUACGUAAUGCAUCAUCCCGUAACCAACUCAUUGGUCACAUUGCUUGCAAGGCUUAUAGUGAUGUGCAUUACCGAGAGGGCCCAGAGAUACCUCUCCGACAAUCGGAGUGACAAAACCUAAUCUCGAAAUACGCCAACCCAACAUGUACCUUUGGAGACACUUUUAGUACUCCUUUAUAAUCACCCAGUUACGUUGUGACGUUUAGUAGCACCCAAAGUGUUCCUCCGGUAAACGGGAGUUGCAUAAUCUCAUAGUUACAGGAACAUGUAUAAGUCAUGAAGAAAGCAAUAGCAACAUACUAAACGAUCAAGUGCUAGGCUAACGGAAUGGGUCAAGUCAAUCACAUCAUUCUCCUAAUGAUGUGAUCCCGUUAAUAAAAUGACAACUCUUUUGUCCAUGGUUAGGAAACAUAACCAUCUUUGAUAAACGAGCUAGUCAAGUAGAGGCAUACUAGUGACACUAUGUUUGUCUAUGUAUUCACACAUGUAUUAUGUUUCCGGUUAAUACAAUUCUAGCAUGAAUAAUAAACAUUUAUCAUGAUAUAAGCAAAUAAAUAAUAACUUUAUUAUUUCCUCUAGGGCAUAUUUCCUUCACCCGGUACCCGUACUCAAUUGAGCCGGCCUCAGAGCCCCAUCCUGCGUCGUUGAUAUAGAGCUUGCCGCGACGACUCUUGGUCAUCCGGCCAACCGUGUACCCUUUGAGUCCUUCAAAGCUGCCCUUCAAGAACUCAAAACCAUCAUGCAAUAGCCCCACGGUGGGCGCCAAUUGUCGUGGAAAUAUCACGUCAGAUGUCCUCGUGAAAGGACUUAGUCGUGGAGCCACCGCGACGGGUUAGCUUAAAGGGGUUAAACCGGACAAAGGACACGGGAGUUUUAUACUAGUUCGGCCCCUUACAAUGAAGGUAAAAGCCUACGUCUAGUUGUGAUGGAAUUAUUGGGGUUUCGAUUACCAGGGAGCAAACACGCUAUGCCUGGCUUUCGAGUUGUUGUUUCUUGUCCCUGAACCGCCGCCGGGUCGUCCCUUUAUAUACAUAGGUUGACGCCCGGCCAGUUUGCAGAGUCCCGAGGCUGGCUUAUACAAGUGUCCGGCUCGGUCUCUCCUUUCCUAACUUACAAUACAAGUUAUACAAUGAUGGCAGUUUAUAUCUAUGGGCCCUAAUCCGCCUUUGGGCUCUGGGCCUUUAAGCUUCAUCAGUAAAGCACCAUCUUCUGGGCCUUCAUGGGCUUCAAUAUAGUUGAGGGUGAACCGGCCCCUUCUGGGCGGUUUACACUCAGUAGUUGUAUCCCCAACAGAGGACUUGGAAGGGUUUGACAUUGCUCAGUGCUGAAGCUGAUCUUCAAGACGAUGGCUUCACAGAGAGAUUCAAGUUUGACUCCACUCCUCUAAGGAAUGUUGUCUUGCGUCGAACUCCAUCUCUUGAAGACUCAGAGUACUCUUCCUCUGCAGCUAUGGUAAAUGUCGGAGUUCUUGAUGACGCCGAUGAUGCUACUUCACCACCUCCAACAUCAGCGUGUAUCGACACUGCACCAAGUUCUUCGGCACCACCAAACCUCAAUGACGACCCUGCUACUUCACCUACUCCUCAUGGGAACGAGUAGCGACUAUGUCUUCAAACCUUUUUGGUCCUUACUGACAAAAGGGGGAGAAGCAUAUGUUGAUAGUCUUCAAGCGGGUCCAUAUGGGUGGUUGCUAUACUUGUGCCUAGUGUUUACAACUCUUGUUUUGAUACAUUUGGUUCUUUGAGUUGUAACACUUAAACUUGAUGGUCGUCUACUACUUUCUCUGCUAUUCUGUGAUGCAACGAUAAAUUCUGCAUGUGCGAUGAUAAAUCCCGCAUGAAGUCAUUUCGCAGACGUCCAUCUUUCAUUAUGCAUGUCAAUAUUCCUGUAUAUCUAUUCAUGCAUGAUGUAUUGUAUUCAUAUGGUGAGAAGGAUCUCCACAAGUACAACCUGCCAUGUGCAUUUGCAUUCCAACGCAAAACAUUUAUAUGCACAUCUUCAGGGGGAGCCUUUGCCACUUAUGAAGACAAUGUCCUAAUCCUUUACAAUUUCACAUACUUUUAUCCCUGUUGAAAACUUCAACCAGUUUGUCAUCAAUCACCAAAAAGCGGGAGAUUGGAAGUGCAUCUAGUGCCAACCCUAGUUGGUUUUGGAGUAUUGACGACAAACCUGGUUGAGGGACUAAUGUGUUUGUGAGAAUUACAGGAUAACACAGGUAGUAGUCCCUCAUUGAUUCGGUUUACCUACCGGAUAUGACCCCUAAAAAUAUGUGAAGACAUUGAAGACAAUGGUGGUCUGUGAAGCUAAUCACGUUGAAGGCUAUGACAUGAGAAGACAACGUCUGAAGACUAUGGAGCGUGAAGACUUAGCUGUUUCGUUGUUUCUUUUCUUUUUUGUUGAGUCAUAGGAACCACCGCACUGUUAAGUGGGGUCCAAGUGAACAAAGUCAGAGUGACUAAAGUGAUGCUCAACAAAAUCCUAUGUGUUCGAGCGAAGACAAUGAGUGCAAAUCUUAUCCAGAGUCGGAUAAGUCAGCUUUACUUGUAGCCCAAGUCAAGCUGCCGCGUGUGUUUGAAAUCUGACCGUUGCGACACGUGUCAGUUCAUUAGUGACCCAGGGUCAUUUCGGAGAAAUCAGGUUGGGUUGCCCAGUGGCUAUAAAUAGCCCACCCCCUACACCAUAAAUUGGUGGCUGCUCAGAGUUAGUAUACGGCUUUUGUCGUUUGAGAGCAGCCCACCUCCGAAGCUUUUGAGAGAGAAUCCUUGCGAGGACAAAGCCCAAACCACCCAAAGCCCAAAGAGUGUUUGGCAUCACUGAAGUCUUUCUGCCCGUGCAAUCUGAAGACUUAUUUCACUUGAGGACUGUGAAUCCUCCAGCCGGUUAGGCGUCACGUUCUGAGCAUCCAAGAGUCAUUGUGGAUUGCCGGUGAACGAAGUCUGUGAAGGUUUGGGAGUCUACCUUGAAGACUUACCAGAGUGAUUGGGCGGGGACUCAGAGUCCUUAGCUCAAGGGGAAUAAGGUGAAGACGCGGUCUUCUGAGUUAAAUCUCGGCCUCCCUAACCAGACGUACAGUUGUCACAACAACUGGAACUGGUCGAACAAACCACUGUCUUCCUAAAGCUACUGGUUCCAUCUCUCACUUCUCUUUACUUACAGUUUGUCUUCGUGAAGUCAUUGCCUGCUUGAUUAAUCUGUUUGACUUCACUGUGAGACUACUUGUCUUGAUUGGCUUCAUACUAUCUUCCAUCCUGAUCUUUACUACCUAGCUGCUAAUAGUCUUCGUGCUUUCACUUCAUUGAAUACUUGACUAUGGCUUGUCUAGUGUAGUCUACCUUCUGCUGCAUACGAAUAGUGUUGUUUCUACUGUUUGUCUUUGAAACUCCCAUGUUUUGAAGACUUUCAUAAAAAUUGCCUAUUCACCCCCCCCCCCUCUAGUCGAUGAAUAGCCCUUUCAAAAAUUCACUAAAACAAAAAUAUUUUUUUAAUUUGGAGAAUUUUCUAAAAUACCUUUUUCUUUUUAGAAAUCUCAGACAAUUUUGAAAAACAACAAAAGUUUUCAAAAAAAUGGGAAACUUUUUCAAGUUCCGAAUAUUUUUCAAAAUAGCAAACAAAUUUGGAAUUCUGAACAUUUUCUAUAAUUUGUUUUUUAUUGAAAUUCUGAAUGUUUUUUGUGAAUUUUGAAUUUAUGAAAUAAAUUCUAUAAGAAAAAUAAACUUCGAAGGUAAAAAGAGAUAGGGGAAGGAGAAUGAAAAUAGAAGUAAAACACAAAAAGAAAGAAAAAUGGGCCAGCCCAUUAUUGGUUGUCCUGUGCGAAGCUCUGACUAUUUAUCGCCCUAUGCGGAGAAUAGAAUUUUCCCAGCUUUUUUUAGGAAAGAAUUUUCCAAGUUGCAUGGGUAAAAAAAUAAGUGGGCUGGCUUCGUUGGGCCACAGUGCGUGGCUCACAUACGAAAUUCUAGAAAAGUCUCUUUUCUAGCAGACGAACGCAUAAGAAUUUUUUACCACCUCGGAUAUAAAAAAAAUUGGUUGUGAACAGAUGAAAAAAUUGGCAAAAUGCACCUUGCUUUAUUAGUAGGUAUAGAUAUAGAUAUAGAUAUAGAUAUAGAUAUAGAUAUAGAUAUAGAGGUAUAGAUUUCAAUGUACUAACAAUAGAGCAUUGACCUUCAUCAAUGUAAAGUGGGAUGAUUUCAAGCAAUGGCCUGAAAGUGAAGCCUUUUAUCGACUCAAUUGUAGAGUAAGUACCUUGAGAUUUUAAUGCCUCUAAAUUCAUUAUUUCAGAAGGGAACCAAAAUACUACUUUCCACCAUAUAUAAAAGUUAAUCUAUAAUUUGAUUUGAAAAAACAUGUUGUUUGAUUAUCUUCAUCAUGGCGUGUUCAAAAUAUAUGAACCUAAAAUCAAUUUUGCAAGAAACUUACAAGCAUAGAACAUAGGGCACAGUAGAAGAAAGUGAAAAUUGAUCUAGCUAAAUUUGGAAGUACACAUACCCGUCUUUAUGAAACCCUCCCAGGAGUGUAUCUUAUGAUAUCUUCAAACCAAAUAAUUUUCAUACCGCAAGAGAUCACGAUAUCAAACUCUACCAUGAGUGUAUCAAUAUCCUUUGUUCUUUUUGAACCUGGUAAUCAUCAGACCGCAAGAGGCCACAAUAUCAACCCCUCGUCACACAUACAGAAACUCAGUCAAUUGUUAGAACAGCUAUGAGUAGUAGUAGCACCAGUGAAAGCACAAGUGCUCCCUGGGUGAUUUUGGUAAUUAAUGUCAGCAUAUCUCUUGUUGGACUAAUGCUUUUACCUAGUAUGUUUCAAAUAAGUUCAACAAUGGAGUGGCAUGGACUAGAGGAUGUGGAACCCUUUCAAGAUGCUAAGGACAAAAGGAUUGGCUCAAGCUCAAAGCACAAGACUCUACAUUUUACUUUUAGUUAUCCAAGAUCACAUUGAGUCCAUAGGAAAGCCAAUACUAUUAAGAGGGGAUAAGGUGUUGCUUAAUGGCUUACUUGCUCAAAGUGCUUAGUGAUAUGCUCCAAAGCCCUCUACUACUUUCUCACAUCCACAUAUAUCCCAAACCAAAAUUCAAACUCGGCCCCACUGAAUCUUUCUAUCCGGCGCCACCGAGUUAAGUUGACAUAGCCACUGCCAGAAACCCUAGUCUUUUCGGUCUCACCGAUAGGGAUCUCGGUCUCACCGAGAUGGGAUUGUAAUCUCUCUGUUUCCCUUCGUAAAGUUUCAGUCAAACCAAGAUGAGCGAUCGGUCCCACCGAGAUUGCAAUGCAAACUCUAUGUUUCCCUUUCGUAACGAUUCGGUCCAACCGAGAUGAGCGAAUUGGUCCCACCGAGUUUGCCUAACCAACUCUCUGGUUAGCUUAUUACCAAAAUCGGUCUCACCGAGUUUGUGUAAUCAGUCUCACCGAGAUUACGUUAUGCCCUAACCCUAAUGAUAUCGGUCCCACCGAGUUGACAUGUCGGUCCCACUGAAAUACCUAACGGUCACAUUAUGAACUAAAUCGGUCUGACCGAGUUUAACGAUUCGGUCCCAUCGAGUUUGGUAAGUUGUGUGUAACGAUUAGAUUUUGUGUGGAGGCUAUAUAUACCCCUCCACCCACUCUUCAUUCAUGGAGAGAGCCAUUAGAACAUGCCUACACUUCCAACAUACAUUUUCUAAGAGAGAACCACCUACACUUGUGUUGAGAUCAAGAUAUUCCAUUCCUACCACAUAAAUCUUGAUCUCUAGCCUUCCCCAAGUUGCUUUCCACUCAAAUCUUCUUUCAACCAAAUCCAAAUCAUAUGAGAGAGAGUUGAGUGUUUGGGAGACUAUCAUUUGAAGCACAAGAGCAAGGAGUUCAUCAUCAACACACCAUCUAUUACCUUUUGGAGAGUGGUGUCUCCUAGAUCGGUUAGGUGUCACUUGGGAGCCUCCGUCAAGAUUGUGGAGUUGAACCAAGGAGUUUGUAAGGGCAAGGAGAUCGCCUACUUCGUGAAGAUCUACCCUAGUGAGGCAAGUCCUUCGUGGACGACGGCCAUGGUGGGAUAGACAAGGUUGCUUCUUCGUGGACCCUUCAUGGGUGGAUCCCUCCGUGGACUCGCGCAGUUGUUGCCCUUCGUGGGUUGAAGUCUCCAUCAAUGUGGAUGUACGAUAGCACCACCUAUCGGAACCACGACAAAAACAUCCAUGUCUCCAAUUGCGUUUGCACACUCCAAUCCCAUCCCUUUACUUUCUUGCAAGUUGCAUGCUUUACUUUCCGCUGCUCAUAUACUCUUUGCAUGCUUGCUUGAUUUGUAUGGUGAAUUGUUAAACUUGUGCCAAAACUCCACCUUACCUUAAAGAGAUUAAAAACUGCCAACUUUGUGUGUUGAGUGUCUAAUCACCCCCCUCUAGACACCUCUUCUCGAUCCUUUCAAUUGAUAUCAGAGCUUUGGACUCCAUUGCUUUGGUUUAAUCACUAUUGGAGGAAGAUGCAUGAGUCUACUUUGGGGAGUCUUAGACAUAGAGUGCCUAUACUUGAUGGAGAAUAUUUUCAUGAGUGGAAAAAUGAGAUGCUUGUGAUUCUCAAUGAAUAUCAUUUGAACAAGUACAUUACUAGUCCUUGUGCACCUCAUGUUGAUCCUAUGCAUCCUACCCUUGAUGAGUCCAUUGACAUGAUUCGCAAUCUUAGACUGUUAAUCUUAUCACUAGAGACUUGCCUAGAAACUUGAUUGGUUGCUUGCCUACUCUUGAAUGUGCCUACACCAUAUGGAAAUUUCUUGAGAAACGAUUCCCAAAUUAUUCCUUGCAAAAUUUAGAUGAAAUUCUUCAUAAGUCUAUUGCCUUGAGUAAGAUGAAUUCCAAUGAUCCUAAGUUUGGUGAUUGUCUAUUUGAGCUUACAAAUCUUAUGCGUGCCAAAGGAGAGGUUGGAAUCAUUAGUGAUAUUAUUUCCGAAGCUAUUAGAAUUCAUAAAGAUGACUAUUAUCAAAAUCAUUUGUCUAACAAUUCACCCUCUCUAGGAAUUGAUCCACCACAUGACGAUGUUGAACAUGGAUACUAUGAUGAGGAUGAUGAUAGUGACUUUUGAUCUUGAUGAUGCAAUGAGACACUUUGGUCUUAUGGCAAAUCUUCAGGGAUACAUGGAAGCAGGAAAGGAAUGGGUCCUUAACAGUGGAUGUACCGAUCACAUGACCGGAGAUAAAGAUAUGUUUGGUGAGCUUGCUGAAAAUGACGGCCCUCGAAAGUAUGUCACUUUUGGUGAUAACUCAAAGGGUAAGGUGGUUGGCCUCGGUAAGGUGGCCAUCUCACAUGAUAGCUCCAUACAAAAUGUCAUGCUCGUUGAAUCUCUUGGUUAUAAUCUGCUUUCUGUUUUUAGACUAGCUGACUUUGGUUUCAAUGUCCAAUUUACCAAAGUAGAUUGCCAAGUUUUUCAUAGAGAUAAUCAUAAAAUGGUAUUUACCGGUAUACACAAAGGUGAUCUAUACAUUGUUGAUUUCACUAAAAAGGCUCAACCUAAAACUUGCUUAAUUGCUAAAUCUUCUAAAGGUUGGUUGUGGCAUAGACGGUUAGGUCAUGUUGGCAUGCGAAACCUUGACAAGCUUAUUAAAGGUAAUCAUAUCCUUGGCGUUAACGAUGUCAUAUUUGAUAAGGAUAGAAUUUACAGCGCUUGUCAAGAAGGUAAACAGGUUGGAGGAAGGCAUCCCGUGAAGAACAUCAUUACCACAAGGAGGCCGCUCGAGCUACAUCACAUGGAUCUUUUCGGUCCCAAUGCUUACAAAAGUCUCAGUGGAAAUUCUUUUGGUCUAGUUAUAGUUGAUGAUUUUUCAAGAUUUACGUGGGUAUUCUUUCUCGAUGAUAAAUCGCAGGUCCAAAAGAUCUUCAAAAACUUCGCUAGGAAGGCCCAAAAUCAAUUUGAAGUGAAAAUCAAGAAGGAUCGCAGCGACAACGGAACGGAGUUCAAGAACGCAAAUGUGGACACCUUUCUUGAUGAAGAAGGGAUUUCACAUGAGUUCUCGGCUACGUACACACCUGAACAAAAUGGAGUUGUUGAGAGGAAGAACCGAACACACAUCAAAAUGGCGAGAACGAUGCUUGAUGAGUACAAGACGCCAAAGCACUUUUGGGCGGAAGCGGUUGAGACAGCUUGUCAUGCAACAAAUCCUUGUAUCUUCACAAGCUACUCGGCAAAACGGCAUACGAGCUCCUCACCGGUAACAAACCCCAAGUUGGAUACUUUCGAGUAUUCGGCUCAAAGUACUACAUUCUUGAUAAGCAUCAUCGUUCUAAAUUUGCUCCUAAAUCUCAUGAAGGUUUCCUACUUGGUUAUGGCUCAAACUCUCACACUUACCGUGUCUACAAUAAUUUCACCCAAAAGGUUGAAGAGACGGUAGAUGUGAAGUUUGAUGAAUCUAACGGCUCGUAAGUAGAGCAAUUGCCAAUUGAUGUAGGAGAUAAAGAUCCUUCGAAAGCAAUCCAAGACUUGUCUAUUGGCAAGGUUCGUCCAACGGAGGUGAAGGAGAGUACCUCGUCCGUCCAAGUGGAAGCUUCUACCUCACGACAAGGUGAACCAAGAGUUGAUAUGGAAGCAUCCACAAGCGGGACACGCCAAGAUGAAGAAAACGAGGAAGUACACCAAGAUGAACAUCAACAACCUCCUUCUCCACCACGACGAGAGAAUGACAACGUCAACAAUGAUGAAGGCCAAUAAGAAGAACAAGAUGAUGAAGAAGAUGUUCCACCCCGAUCAAAGCAAAAGCUCUCAUGAGUUCGAGCAAGAGUUGCUAGAGACCAUCCCAUCGAGCAAAUCUACAAUGAUAUCCAAACCGGGAGAAUCACUCGCUCUAAAUCUCAUUUGGCUAACUUUGGCAUUGAACCUAUGAAGGUUGAAGAAGCAUUGGAAGAUCCGGAUUGGAUAAACGCCAUGCACGAAGAACUACACAACUUUGAGAUAAACCAAGUGUGGACAUUGGUCGAGAAGCCCGACAACAACCACAACAUCAUCGGUACCAAAUGGGUGUUUCGCAACAAGCAAGAUGAAGAUGGACAAGUAGUUCGCAACAAAGCAUUUCUCGUCACCCAAGGCUACACUCAAGUCGAAGGUAUGGACUAUGGUGAGACAUAUGCCCCCGUUGCUAGACUUGAGUCCAUUCGCAUCUUACUUGCCUAUGUUAAUCACCAUGGUAUCACCUUGUACCAAAUGGAUAUUAAAAGUGCUUUUCUAAAUGGUGAAAUUGAGGAGGAAGUUUAUGUUAAACAACCUCCCAGCUUUGUCAAUCCUAAGAAACCUAAUCAUGUUUACAAACUUCACAAAGCUCUUUAUGGUCUUAAACAAGCUCCUAGAGCAUGCUAUAUGACCAAGUUCCUUAUUGAAAACGGCUUUGAGAUUGGAAAAUUGAUUCUACUCUUUUCACUAAAAGGGUUAAUGGAGAAUUAUUUGUAUGCCAAAUUUAUGUCGAUGAUAUUAUAUUUGGAUCAACUAACCCUCAUUUUAGUGAGAAGAUUGGGAAGCUAAUGUUGGAGAAGUUUGAGAUGUCUAUGAUGAGUGAACUCAAGUUAUUUCUUGGUUUGCAAAUCAAGCAAACUAAGGAAGGAACCUUUGUCUCUCAAACGAAGUACACCAAGGACUUAUUCAAGAAGUUCAAUAUGCAAGAAUGCAAAGGUAUGACUACACCCAUGCCUACUAGUGGACAUCUUGAUUUGACCAAAGAUGGUGAACCGGUUGAUCAAAAAGUUUAUCGCUCUAUGAUUGGAUCAUUGUUAUAUCUAUGUGCCUCUCGUCCUGAUAUUGUGCUAAGUGUGUGCAUGUGUGCACGAUUUCAAGCGGCCCCUAAAGAGUGUCAUCUUAAGGCUGUGAAAGGGAUAGUGAGAUACUUAAUUCAUACACCAAACUUUGGCAUUUGGUAUCCAAAGAGGGCCUCUUUUAAUCUUGUUGGCUACUCUGACUCGGACUAUGCCGGAGACAAGGUUGAUAGAAAGUCCACAUUGGGUACUUGUCAAUUUCUUGGUAGAUCUCUUGUCUCUUGGUCCUCCAAGAAACAAAACUCGAUAUACUUAUCCACCGCCGAAGCGGAAUACAUAGCCGCUGGGUCAUGUUGUGCUCAAUUACUUUGGAUGACCCAAACUCUUAAGGAUUAUGGGAUAUAUGUGAAACAUGUUCCUUUGCUUUGUGACAAUGAAAGUGCCAUUAAGAUUGCUCACAAUCCCGUGCAACAUUCUCGAACUAAGCACAUUAAAGUUCGUCAUCAUUUCAUUCAAGAUCAUGUUGCUAAGGGUGACAUUAACCUUAAGCAUGUUUGUACCGAAAAACAAUUAGCCGAUAUUUUCACUAAACCACUUGAUGAGAAAGUGUUUUGCAGGUUAAGAGGUGAAUUGAACAUCAUUGAUGCUUCAAACUUGGAGUAGGAACUCCAUUUGGAUACAUGCAAGACAAGAGCCUAUGACUAUUCCAUGAUAUUUCUCUUAUGAUGAUAAUCAUAUAUCUUGGAUAUAUUUGGACCCUUGCAUGUUGUCUAACCAAUGUAGGUACUUGGAUGGAUUUAACUCUAUGAGAUUGCAACCCACUCACAUCUUGAGUAAUCUCUACAUCACCAAGUCUCUACAUUAUGGUGGUUGAAGACAAUGAAGCACGAAACCCUUCAAACAUAUCCUUUGACAAAUUCUAUAUUGAGUUUAUGAUUGUCAUUUUGGAUGCACAAGUGCUCUUCCUUGCAAGACUAACUCGUGUAGGUAGAUGAACUCAAAUUCCAAGUGGAGCUCCCAACUCUUGAUGAGCUACAUCAACCUUGAGCAACCGACAUAAGUUCAACUACAUGAUCACGAUCAAUUCCACCACCCAAGGUAUGUUAUUCCAUCUUAGAGAAGCUUUACUCCAAGACAUGAGUCAAAUCAACUCAACAAGAUGUGAAUACAUCAAAAUGCUUAAAUGAAAAAUGGUAACCCCAUUUUGAGCUUAAACGAUGAGUAUGACCUAUGAUCAAGUGAUCUCACUUGACUCCUAAGUCAAUAUACUCUAACAUAGGUGACUUUGUCUCCGACUAAUUUUAGAUGAAGUUCUCUAGUGUUCUUUUCUGUGCUCUUGCAUUUGUCUCAUGCAUAUUUGUUUCCCCUUUCAAAAAAAACUUCAUCUAGAUUUCUUUUCUGAUUUCUUUUUGUUCUGCAUUCCUUGCAUCCAAUUCUUUGCAAAUCUUUCAGUUAAUUCCUUGCAAAUCCUUGUGAGAUCUUACUUGUCUAGUGAGCUAAGGUGACAAGUGUUUUCUCUAUGAUGAACUCGAUCACACCGGUCUGUUGUUUUCGGUCCAACCGAAUUCUUUCGAAGCAACCGAAGCACACAACUCGGUGCCACCGAUUUCAUUGCAGGAAAGACAACUUGCCACUUGUUCCUACAUUCUUUUUGAUCCGGCUCCACUCAAUGAUUCUUGUCCUCUACCAGCAUCACAUUCGACUGGCUGCUUUGUUCUAUGACUCAAGGACCAAACCCUUUUGUAACAAAAAUCUAGAAGAACCCUUCUUGGAAAUUGAUGUCAAAGGGGGAGAGAGAGAUCACAUCAAAGCUUAAUCAUUUCUAUAGGGGGAGAAAAUACUCAGGGGGAGAGAGAGUUCUUCUACAAGGAGACAGAAGUAUCACUUCAAAAGACCACAGAUGCUUGGUGCUUAAGAGGAGAGAAGUCACAUGUCUUUAAGACGGGAAAGACAUGUUCAUAUUUGAUUGUUUGCUUUUUAGCUCUCUUUCUUUUCUUUGCUCUGGUUGCUCUGAUUUUCUGUUCCCUAUCUUCUCCCAGUAUCCCAUGCUAGAUUUAGGGGGAGCAAGACAUCUCAGGGAAGGAAGUCCUUGAAUUUUUUGCACAUCUUUACCUUUGGGGACAUGUCUAUAUCCAAUGGGGUACUCGGUACUCACUCUCUACAUGUCAUCCCAGUCUUGGUACUCUUGUGGUUCUUUUGUUUGCUCUGGCUAGUAGGUGUAUCUGUGUUAUCUAACCUUGUUUACGCAGGUUCAUUCCCUCCUAAGCCAACUCAAGACCACAAGGUAAGUAUAUGCAUCACAGUCAUGUGUAUGAGGAUCUCUUGCUGAUGUACAUACUGUUUGCAAGAAGGACUCAUGAGCAUGGAGGUACAUUUCCUAUAUUCACAUCAUUUGCUCUGAUGCAUAUAGCCAAGAUACAUGUAAUACAUUGCUUACUCUGUCAUGCUUAUGCAUUCACAUGCUCCUAUAUUCCACAUUUACAUGAUUGCAUACAUGUAGGGGGGGGCAUAUGCAUGUUACAUGUCUUCCCAAAGCUUUACUUGUCAUUCUCUAUAUCUUUAUCUAAAGCUUUGAUGUAUAUUGUCAUCAAUUACCAAAAGGGGGGAGAUUAAAAACACAAGUGCUCCCUGGGUGGUUUUGGUAAUUAAUGUCAAGAUAUCUCUUGUUGGACUAAUACUUUACCUAGUAUGUUUCAGAUAAGUUCAACAAUGGAGUGGCAUGGACUAGAGGAUGUGGAACCCUUUCAAGAUGCUAAGGGCAAAAGGAUUGGCUCAAGCUCAAAGAACAAGACUCUACAUUUUACUUUAAGUGAUCCAAGAUCACAUUGAGUCCAUAGGAAAGCAAAUACUAUUAAGAGGGGAUGAGGUGUUGCUUAAUGGCUUACUUGCUCAAAGUGCUUAGUGAUAUGCUCCAAAGCCCUCAACUACUUUCUCACAUCCACAUAUGUCCCAAACCAAAAGUCAAAAUCGGCCCCACCGAAUCUUUCUAUCCGGCGCCACCAAGUUCAGUUGACAUAUCCACUUCCAAAAACCCUAGUAUUUUUGGUCUCACCGAUAGGGAUCUCGGUCUCACCGAGAUGGGAUUGUAAUCUCUCUGUUUCCCUUCGUAAAGUUUCAGUCAAACCAAGAUGAGCGAUCGGUCCCACCGAGAUUGCAAUGCAGACUCUUUGUUUCCCUUUUGUAACGUUUCGGUCCAACCGAGAUGAGCGAAACGGUCCCACCGAGUUUGCCUGACCAACUCUCUGGUUAGCUUAUUACCAAAAUCGGUCUCACUGAUUUUGUGUAAUCGGUCUCACCGAGAUUACGUUAUGCCCUAACCCUAAUGAUAUCGGUCCCACCGAGUUGACAUGUUGGUCCCACCGAAAUACCUAACGGUCACAUUAUGAACUAAAUCGGUCUAACUGAGUUUAACGAUUCGGUCCCACCAAGUUUGGUAAGUUGUGUGUAACGGUUAGAUUUUGUGUGGGGGCUAUAUAUACCCCUCCACCCACUCUUCAUUCGUGGAGAGAGCCAUCAGAACAUGCCUACACUUCCAACAUACAUUUUCUGAGAGAGAACCACCUACACUUGUGUUGAGAUCAAGAUAUUCCAUUCCUACCACAUAAAUCUUGAUCUCUAGCCUUCCCCAAGUUGCUUUCCACUCAAGUAUUCUUUCAACCAAAUCCAAAUCAUGUGAGAGAGAGUUGAGUGUUUGGGAGACUAUCAUUUGAAGCACAAGAGCAAGGAGUUAAUCAUCAACACACCAUCUAUUACCUUUUGGAGAGUGGUGUCUCCUAGAUUGGUUAGGCGUCACUUGGGAGCCUCCGUCAAGAUUGUGGAGUUGAACCAAGGAGUUUGUAAGGGCAAGGAGAUCAUCUACUUCGUGAAGAUCUACCCUAGUGAGGCAAGUCCUUCGUGGGCGACGGCCAUGGUGGGAUAGACAAUGUUGCUUCUUCGUGGACCCUUCGUGGGUGGAGCCCUCCGUGGACUCGCGUAGCCGUUACCCUUCGUGGGUUGAAGUCUCCAUCAACGUGGAUGUACGAUAGCACCACCUAUCGGAACCACGACAAAAACAUCCGUGUCUCCAAUUGCGUUUGCACACUCCAAUCCCAUCCCUUUACUUUCUUGCAAGUUGCAUGCUUUACUUUCCGCUGCUCAUAUACUCUUUGCAUGCUUUCUUGAUUUGUAUUGUGAAUGGUUAAACUUGUGCCAAAACUCCACCUUAAUUUAAAGAGAUUAAAAACUGCCAACUUUGUGUGUUGAGUGUCUAAUCACCCACCUCUAUACACCUCUUCUCGAUCCUUUCAAUUGGUAUCAGAGCUUUGAUCUCCAUUGCUUUGGUUUAAUCACCAUUGGAGGAAGAUGGAUGAGUCUACUUUGGGGAGUCUUAGACAUAGAGUGCCUAUACUUGAUGGAGAAUAUUUCAUGAGUGGAAAAAUGGGAUGCUUGUGAUUCUCAAUGAAUAUCAUUUGAACAAGUACAUUACUAGUCCUUGUGCACCUCAUGUUGAUCCUAUGCGUCCUACCCUUGAUGAGUCCAUUGACAUAAUUCGCAAUCUUAGAACUGUUAAUCUUAUCACUAGAGGCUUGCCUAGAAACUUGAUUGGUUGCUUGCCUACUCUUGAAUGUGCCUACACCAUAUGGAAAUUUCUUGAGGAACAAUUCCCAAAUUAUUCCUUGUAAAAUUUAGAUGAAAUUCUUCAUAAGUCUAUUGCCUUGAGUAAGACGAAUUCCAAUGAUCCUAAAUUAUGUGAUUGUCUAUUUGAGCUUACAAAUCUUAUGUGUGCCAAAGGAGAGGUUGGAAUCAUUAGUGAUAUUAUUUUCGAAGCUAUUAGAAUUCAUAAAGAUGACUAUUGUCAAAAUCAUUUGUCUAACGAUUCACCCUCUCUAGGAAUUGAUCCACCACAUGACGAUGUUGAACAUGGAUACUAUGAUGAGGAUGAUGAUAAUGACUUUGAUCUUGAUGAUGCAAUGAGACACUUUGGUCCUAUGGCAAAUCUUCGGGGAUACAUGGCAGGAGGAAAGGAAUGGGUCCUUGACAGUGGAUGUACCGAUCACAUGACCGGAGAUAAAGAUAUGUUUGGUGAGCUUGCUGAAAACGACGGCCCUCGAAAGUAUGUCACUUUUGGUGAUAACUCAAAGGGUAAGGUGGUUGGCCUCGGUAAGGUGGCCAUCUCACAUGAUAGCUCCAUACAAAAUGUCAUGCUCGUUGAAUCUCUUGGCUAUAAUCUGCUUUUUGUUUCUAGACUAGCUGACUUUGGUUUCAAUGUCCUAUUUACCGAAGUAGAUUGCCAAGUGUUUCAUAGAGAUAAUCAUAAAAUGGUCUUUACCGGUAUACGCAAAGGUGAUCUAUACAUUGUUGAUUUCACUAAAAAGGCUCAACCUAAAACUUGCUUAAUUGAUAAAUCUUCUAAAGGUUGGUUGUGGCAUAGACGGUUAGGUCAUGUGGGCGUGCGAAACCUUGACAAGCUUAUUAAAGGUAAUCAUAUCCUUGGCGUUAACGAUGUCAUAUUUGAUAGGAUAGACUUUGUAGUGCUUGUCAAGCAGGUAAACAGGUUGGAGGAAGGCAUCCCGUGAAGAACAUCAUGACCACAAGGAGGCCGCUCUAGCUACAUCACAUGGAUCUUUUCGGUCCCAAUGCUUACAAAAGUCUCGGUGGAAAUUCUUUUGGUCUAGUUAUAGUUGAUGAUUUUUCAAAAUUUACGUGGGUGUUCUUUCUCGAUGAUAAAUCGCAGGUCCAAAAGAUCUUCAAAAUCUUCGCUAGGAAGGCCCAAAAUCAAUUUGAAGUGAAAAUCAAGAAGGAUCGCAGCGACAACGGAAAGGAGUUCAAGAACGCAAAUGUGGACACCUUUCUUGAUGAAGAAGGGAUUUCACAUGAGUUCUCGGCUACGUACACACCUGAACAAAAUGGAGUUGUUGAAAGGAAGAACCGAACACACAUCAAAAUGGCGAAAACGAUGCUUGAUGAGUACAAGACGCCAAAGCACUUUUGGGCGGAAGCGGUUGAGACAGCUUGUCAUGCAACAAAUCCUUGUAUCUUCACAAGCUACUCGGCAAAACGGCAUACGAGCUCCUCACCGGUAACAAACCACAAGUUGGAUAUUUUCGAGUAUUCAGCUCAAAGUGCUACAUUCUUGAUAAGCAUCGUCGUUCUAAAUUUGCUCCUAAAUCUCAUGAAGGUUUCCUACUUGAUUAUGGCUCAAACUCUCACACUUAUCGUGUCUACAAUAAUUUCACCCGAAAGGUUGAAGAGACGGUAGAUGUGAAGUUUGAUGAAUCUAAUAGCUCGCAAGUAGAGCAAUUGCCAAUUGAUGUAGGAGACAAAGAUCCUUCGAAAGCAAUCCAAGACUUGUCUAUUGGCAAGGUUCGUCCAACGGAGGUGAAGGAGAGUACUACGAUUUGAUAGAAAUUCUACUUACUUUGUUAUCCUAUCAAUAUAAAAUUAUGUAACUGUAAAUAUUAAUCAGUGAGACAUGAAGAUGUCAUGGGACAUUUAAGCAGUACUCUAUCACCAUCAUGUCGUCAUCAUGUCGUCAUCAUGUUUUUAAGUUCAAUACUCCAAGGGAGAUAAAUCUUGAAGCCAUAAUGUCAUCCUGAAAAAUAAAAUGGAAACGUGGUUGAUAUUUGUACAGAAUGUAGUCUACUCUGUACCUUGAUGCUUUGUGCAACGAUUUGUCUGACACGCACCCUCAAUAGAAGCUAUACAGAUCUUCCACUUAAAAGAAGUUGGCACAAUCUCGGUUGGUUACUUCUAUAUAUUUCAGGUUUGAAUAAGCACUUUCUUGAAGUCAGAUGGAGAUGCUAAAGAAAUUUGUCAUCCAAUAUGUUAUUCUGCAAAAAAAUGUAAAGAAUUAGAAAGUACAAGAAUAAUGAGGCAGAGCAUCGAACUGAGCAUAAAAAUUUCCAUAAAUGGUAUAUGCAGUUUAGUCAAACAACUCUUAAUUCGUUAAAUCGGCACAGCAAGGGAGUCUUUUCUUGGAGCGGUGCAAUGUAUGAUGUAGAAAUCAUUCUGUACAAGUUUGUAAAACCACAAAAGACAUAUAAUGUACUGGCCAUAGUAAUAAGAAAUGUAUGAAGGUGCUCAUCCUAGAAUUCUUUCUUGUUCUGAAACAAUCAUUACCAUUGGUGCAACCUAUAAUUAAACAGCAAUAGCAGCACUUUGCCUUGACCACCCUGUGCAAAAUAAGCUGGCUACCCAUUUUGGCAUACAGAACCUAAAAUUAAAGGAAGAAAACAGGUCAAUUUGGUAGUGCUGUAAUUAGACAUGAGAAGUCAGUCAGUUUGUUGGAGCAGUAAUUAUGAAAUGCACAUGUAAUUGUCACUGUCAGAAACACCGGAAAUACUGUCAGCUACAUCUCCACGGAAACAUUACUAAACUGACCUCUCUGUUCUCCUGCUCGUCCCCCACCCCAUCUCCAUUUCGUACUCUUCUCUCGGGCCUCUCGUACGCGGCAAGAAGGCCACACAUCAGUGUACUGUGUACAACAAGGCACCAUAAUUCAUUACGAUCUGCAUCUGCAAUAGAACAAAAGGGGCAACAUGAUAACUGAAGGACCAAGAAGUCCAUCAACACUCUAGCCACAAAUUGACAUUUCCUUUUUACCCAUGUGUUUUCUCCUUUCAUGCACAUCUUUCUGCCUUUCCAUGCGACAAAAGAACAAUGGGAAUCAGUGCCAUUGCAUAAACUGGUUAUUUGAGUAGUUUUGCGUUAGUUUCAUGUCAGUUGGAACUUGGAAAUUACGGGUUUUUUUCCUUCAUGUGAGCUCUUAAACAAUACAGUACUACAAAUUAGCUUGCAGUGCCAUACUAUAUACUUACGGGCGACUUGAGGAUUGGAGGGAAUCCAACAUCUGCCGGUCGCUGCAGCUGCAGUACGUACCCUGGAAACGCGGCAAAUUCGCCGAUUCUAGUAGUGUGUUGCCGCUGGUGCCUUCUUGCAGCCUUGGAUUAUAUUCUUGCCCGUUGCCUCCCUGGUCGAUGCCCAUAUCAUCAAGAUAGGAGAAGGGCAUGAGGGUGGGACGUUGUGGAGGCAGUGGCGCAAGGGCGCGGCGGCCAUAUGGCUUAUUAGUGUUUGGUUAGGUUAAGAGAGGAACGGGGGCGGCGUACGGUAGGGAAGGAGAAGAUUUGAUCUGUGUUAGGUCAAAAGAAGAUUAGGUGGUUGUUAUUUAUCGUUUAAUUGAGGGAUCCACCAAAUCAAUAGCCAGAUGUUUCUGCCUUUUGUAGGAUUUUCUGCCCUAUGGCUAUUUUUUGUGGUACAAAUAAAUGGUUUUUCUAGGAAUUUUUAGUCUGUCUCCUUUUUUUCCUGGAGAGCCCGACAAGUAUAUACGUACAGAUAUAUAAUGCAGCUUUGGGUCCUUCGUUUGCUGAAGAAAAACAGGGUAAUCAACCAAUCAUAUUCAUAUCCAAGCACACCUAUUUUUUGGCCACGCGCUCCAAUACUGCUUGGCUCUACCAGCCAGUUAGAGCAAAAAAUGCUCGAGGAACAUUAUCAUAGCUUCUCACGGUAACUAGAUCAACUUUGCUUCCGCGCACAACACAAUAUGGAUUCAUCUGCGACACUUUUCAUAAAAUACGACUUGACUUCAAAUAUAUAUGUAAGAGCAUAGGCGAAAGCAUCAUCAUACAGACAGCGGUGAUCUUUCAUGAACCAAAAGGGACCAUCUACAAACGGCGAGGCCAAAAACGGAUUGUUUUACAGUAGGACGCACAUAUUCCACUACACACGUAGACAGACAGAUAAAACUAGCAGCAGCAGCGCAGACACUUUCAGAGAGUCGAGACAACCAUCGCACCCUUCAGCGGCGCCUUGCAGCGUUAACUCAAAAUUCCACACUUGCGUGAUUCAGACAGACUUCAGGAGGAGGAGAGGCCAGGACGGACAGGCGCCUGUUUGUUCUGGCCGGUCGUCGGUUCCAGCUAUCUUGGGG
rnacentral:lncRNA from 1 species